UAGAGCCGGGCACUCUGGCGGGACGUGCCAUCGACAAGAUGGAGGAAGGUGGGGAGUGACGUCAAGUCAUCAUGGCCCUUAUGUCCAGGGCGACACACGUGCUACAAUGGCCGGCACAGCGGGAAGCGAGGCAGUGAUGCCGAGCGGAUCCCUUAAAGCCGGUCUCAGUUCGGAUUGAAGUCUGCAACUCGACUUCAUGAAGCUGGAAUCGCUAGUAAUCGCAGAUCAGCCAAGCUGCGGUGAAUACGUUCCCGGGCCUU
rnacentral:rRNA from 1 species